UCUCCGUUGGUGAACCAGCGGAGGGAUCAUUAUCGAGUUUAUAACUCCCAAACCCUAUGUGAACUUACCACUUGUUGCUUCGGCGCGCGCUUCGGCGCCGCCGAGGACACUUAAACUCUUUGUUUUUAUAAGCAUUUCUGAGUGCCGAAAGGCAAAAUACAAAUGAAUCAAAACUUUCAACAACGGAUCUCUUGGUUCUG
rnacentral:misc_RNA from 1 species